CGAUGCAUCGGGUGGGUGGCGUCUCCCGGACGGCGCUCAGUCGGCCGGGCGUCGCCACUGACGUGACUCGCAUUAUCGUAAUGUAUGGACCUAACUACGUGACACUUAUGUAGCCGUGCCCGUAUCUGGCCCGCUAGCACGCGCUGUAGCCGUUGCGUUGCGUGCCGUUACUUAAAGUGGCGGUGAGGUUACAGGCGAAACAAAGGCGAGAGUCGCUCGGCAAAAGGCAACAAGUGGCCGAAAUGGUUAACACGAGCUGCGCAGUCUUCCGGUGCACAUCGUCCUCCAACAAAAACAAGGGACUCAGAUUCCAUCAGUUUCCACGUGACGAAAGAUGCCACUUGUGGGUGAGGGCGUGCAACCGUGCCGAUCUACUGGGCAAGGACGUCGAGCAGCUAAAGAAUAUGCACAUUUGCAGCCUUCACUUCGAACAUCGCAUGUACGGGAAGCUACUUCUCAAGAAAUCGGCAGUGCCCACUUUGAACAUACCCUCGACGAGGACCGUGUCCACACAGACUGACAAUCCCGAUGCCCACAUGGCGCUUCACAUUCUCACCAGUCAGGGAGUGCAGACGGAGGGCAGAUACGAGAGGUCGGCCGUGAGCCUCGACCAGUUUUUAAAGGCCUGCGACGAGUUCCUGCCUCGAAGUCUGGGCUCGUUCGUCAAGGCUCACAUUUAUGUGGCUGACCAGACCCGCUGAUUCCACUUAGAGUUUUGCGAUACAACUUCUUUUUUCUUAGUUCGGUUAACGAUAAGCAGAUGAUGGGCUUCAUUUUUUAUUAAGAGAAUGUUUGUUUUUGAGAGGUCUACGGAUGUUAACUUUCGCAGACUUUAUGUCCAAUCAAAAUUUAGCCCACCGUUAUUUUAGUCUAUUCAUUCAAUGGGUAUAUCUUACUUAAAACUUAUGUAUACGUAAUUAUAUUAUAGGAACAAUAUAUGUGUUAAGUGGAGGAGCUUAAACGCAUUACGUAGACGCACAACUAUUGAACGCAUUUUUAUCUUUCAACAAAUAUCAUUUCAAUGUAAUAUAUUUUACAGUGACUACGAUUUCGUUGAAUAUUAAAACAAACCGCACCAUUUCAUACUCAACGGAGUGACCCUUAACAUUCACCGCCAGAAGUCGCUUAUUACGAACGACCUUCCUGAAAAGUCUAGUCUCAGCUACAGAAUAUUAUAAUACAGUAGAAUUGCAUGUCCUCGAGAGCUAUCGAGACGGCCACAACGUUCACUUUAUUGUGAUAUGUUCAGGUUGCUACGAGGAAUUAUUUUAGUUUGCCUCAAUAACAAAGUACCGUGACAUUGGCAUGUUCUGUACAUUUAAACAGAAUAACAGUUAACUUUUUAAUUGUGUCUAUAAAUAGCAAGAGAGAAUACACGUUGAACAACGCUGCAAUGACAUAAAGUGUGUACAUAUUGUGGUAUGAAGUUCUUAGCGGCACCGAAUUUAUGUAUCAAAUAAAGACAAGUGUCGCCUAAUGACGUGAGACCGAAUUAAACGUAAACAAAAUACUAAUUCAUAUUCGAGUCGCUCCAAGGCUACGUCUAAAUAAUAGUUAAGUGAGUAUAAGAACGAUUGUUGUCCGUUUUGGAUUUUAAUUCUAUUUUACGUUAAAUACUUUAUGUAGAAUAUAAAUGUACAGUUGAAUUAUAAACAUAUGAUUGAAACCUAAUAUAUAUGUGUAUAUGACGUGACUGAUAUCUCA